GAUGAACGCUGGCGGCGUGCCUAAUACAUGCAAGUCGAGCGAACAGACGAGGAGCUUGCUCCUCUGACGUUAGCGGCGGACGGGUGAGUAACACGUGGAUAACCUACCUAUAAGACUGGGAUAACUUCGGGAAACCGGAGCUAAUACCGGAUAAUAUAUUGAACCGCAUGGUUCAAUAGUGAAAGACGGUUUUGCUGUCACUUAUAGAUGGAUCCGCGCCGCAUCAGCUAGUUGGUAAGGUAACGGCUUACCAAGGCGACGAUGCGUAGCCGACCUGAGAGGGUGAUCGGCCACACUGGAACUGAGACGCGGUCCAGACUCCUACGGGAGGCAGCAGUAGGGAAUCUUCCGCAAAGGGCGAAAGCCUGACGGAGCAACGCCGCGUGAGUGAUGAAGGUCUUCGGAUCGUAAAACUCUGUUAUUAGGGAAGAACAAAUGUGUAAGUAACUAUGCACGUCUUGACGGUACCUAAUCAGAAAGCCACGGCUAACUACGUG
rnacentral:rRNA from 1 species